rnacentral:rRNA from 1 species
UACGGGGGGGGCAAGCGUUGUUCGGAAUUACUGGGCGUAAAGGGCUCGUAGGUGGCCAACUAAGUCAGACGUGAAAUCCCUCGGCUUAACCGGGGAACUGCGUCUGAUACUGGAUGGCUUGAAUCCGGGAGAGGGAUGCGGAAUUCCAGGUGUAGCGGUGAAAUGCGUAGAUAUCUGGAGGAACACCGGUGGCGAAGGCGGCAUCCUGGACCGGUAUUGACGCUGAGUGAGCGAAAGCCAGGGGAGCAAACGGG